rnacentral:tRNA from 1 species
GUUGUGGCUCAGUGGUAGAGUACAUGCUUAAAAUGUGCAAGGUCCUGGAUUCAAUCCCCAGCACACA